CGGGUACCGGUGCGGGAGCUGGCGCAGGCGGGGGCGGGCGGGGGCGGCGGCGACGCUCGGGGCCGGCGGCCAGGGCGCGGGCGGCGGGUUUGCUCUUUGUCUCCGCCGCUCCAAAAUGGCUGCGGCGAGCCGGGCGGAGGACACCGCCGGACGACGUGGGCUCCCGCCGAGCGCCGGUUGCCACAAGCAAUUAUGACUUCUACAGUAUGAAAUUAAAGUCCUGCCCAGCAUAAAGAGAUGAGGGACAGUGGCAGACCCUGAAACAGUACAUCCUUGCUGCCGGACGAGCAGGUGGGCAAAGAAGCAUCUUCCCAAGCCAGAAGCUCUGUGGGCCUUUUAAAUUCAGGAGAAAAGCCAGGAUUUCAGACCUACAAGCUGCCAGGCCCCAGGCAGACCAACCUUUCCAUCCACACCAAGCACAGCUGGACACCAAGAGUGAAAUGAUGCCCACUGGCUAACUAGAGGCAGGACCCUUCCUCCUGGGACCGACAGGACCACCCAAGUAGACUGUUGGUUAGCUCCAGAGCAAUACCUGGAGAGCAGUGUCUCGAUGACUCUCACCAAGGGCAACCGUAGCCCUGUGGCUGGGCUUCACAGAGAGGAACUUACGGAAAGUUCAAGAGGCACUACCCUCUCCUACACUCUGGACGCCUUCCUGAACGCCUCCAUCCCAAAGUGUCAGAGAGCCUGUCCUUAGAUCCAGCCCACAGGAAAGAAAUGAAUCUGGACCACACUUCACAAAAUAGGAAGAAUCAACCCCUACUGAACUGAAGAUCUAAGUGUGAGAGAGAAAAUAAUGAAACUUCAGAAGAAAGUAUUUUAUAAUCUUGGAGACGGUAAAGAUCUUUAAAUGUAAGCACAAAACAAAUGUGCUUUUCCUUGUAAAGGGAAAAAUAGAAUUGUAUGACGUUAAGAACUUCUCACAGAAGAUGCCAUCAGCAAAUGGAAAGGCAACCACAGGGUGGGAGAAGACACACAGUGCAGGGAAAUGGGCAGACUUGGCAGGCAUUCCACAGAAGAGGGCAUCCAGAUGCCCCAUCUGCCACCAGUAAAGUGUGAGCUGAAACCGCUGCAGCCCCUCCAGAAUGGCCUGGUGCUGGUGGGAUGAGGGCGAUGCUGAUGGGUGUAGACCUGUUUCAACACUUGCCGAGCUAUAUACUUGCUCAGCAUUUCACCCAGCAGCCGCCCCCAGCUUGCUCGACAGAAGCGUACCCUGUGUGCCGAGGUGCCUGGCCAGGAUGGCAUUCAUAGCACUCCCCUUCACUGCCUCUCCAGAUCACCCAGACUUCCACAGGCAGCAAAGCGGGCACAUGCCAGUCACUGGUAACCACCAUUGUACCAUGUUUCCACAAUUUGACUACAUCAACUAACUCCCUCAACUGGACCCCUGCAGUAUUUGUCUUCUUAGAACCAGCUUAUUCCACUUGGUGCCAUGUGCUCGUAGCUCAUGCGAAUUGACAACAUGUUAGAAUUUCCUUGCUUUUCCAGGCUGACUGAUGCUCCACUGAUGUAUGUAGUACACGUCCUCUGAUGGACACCUGGGUUGCUUCUACCUCUUGGCUACCUUGAAUGACGCUGCUAUGAACAUGGGGGUAUAAGUUAUCCCUUCAAGACCCUGCUUCCAGUUCUUUUGGAUAGCUGGGGAUAAUCUCAUCAGUGUUAUUUUAUACUCAUGGGUUUCAGCACUUCAGGUGAAUAUUCAGGCAUCAGUGAUCCAGUUGGGAGUUGCUAAGUCCUUAAUAACCAUUUAAAGAGGAAGAGGAAAGCCUUGACCUCAGCAUCUGCCGGUUUCCUUGGUGUGAGUGCUCCUACCAUGACUGAUUUCAAGCUGACCACACAACUUUACUGAACACGUGUUAGCUUUUCAUCAUUUGUGACAAAAUACCUGAGAAAAUUAUCUUAGAGGAAGAAAGAUUUCUUUUGGCUAAUGGUUUUGGAGGUUCCAGUCCGUGUAGACCAGCUCCAUUGCUUUGGGUCAUGGUGGUGCAAGCACGUGGAUGAGCUUGCUGUCCUCACGACAGCCAGGAAACAGGAAGAGGCCAGGUUCAAGAUACAGUCCCCAAGGCAUUCCCCCAGGACCCAGUCCCUUCUAGGAGCCCCACCUCCUGCAGUUUCCACCACCUCCCAGUAGUACAUUUUGCUGUGAACCCAUGAAUGAGGUUGGAGCCCUCGUGAUCCAACCACCUCCCAAAAGCCCCUCCUCCAUUGGAGACCAAGCCUUCAACACAUGAGCCUUAGAAGAACAUUCCAGAUCCAACCCGCGACAGUGUGGAAUUGGGAGGAGAUGCCACAGGUGGUUCCUGCCAGCUAGAAGCAUCCUUACGGCCCCGCCCCACUCUGGAAGCACACAGGAAUGUCUCACAGGGGUAGCUUUCCUCCAGAGAGGCAGGAGGACUUGGCCAGGAGCCAGGACCAGCUCCACACAGAGGAAAGGUGGGGAGCUGUGGCAGUGGGGACAGUUUCAGUCCCACAAGAUGAGAAGGGUUCUGGAGGUGGCAGUGAUGGUGGCUGCCCAACAUGGUGAAUCUGUUACUGCCACUGAACUGCUGCAGUGAGAAUUCUCACACCUGUAACGGAAUGACUUUAUCAAAAAGACCAAGACAACACACACUGGCAAGCAUGUGAGAAGAGGGGUACACCCACUCAAGAAUAGGAGGGAGGUUCCUCAAAAAAACAAAAGUAGAACCUCCACACGAUCCAGCAGCUGUCUUCUGGGUGUGCGUUCCGAGGGACGGAACGCACAUGUCACAGAGAUACCUACCCCGUGUUCACUGUUCCCUCGUGCACAACAGUGAAGUUGCAGAAAGUCUGAGAGUCGCCAGUGGAAAAAGAGCCCGUGAGACACAGUACAUCUGCACCGUGAAGUACUACAGCCUUAAGAAGGAAGGAGUCCUGUCAUCGGAGACGCGUGCUGGGUAAAAAUAAGCCAGGCACAGAGGGAAGAACACCACUCUGUCCACUCGGAUCUAAAAAUAUCAAAAUUCCAGAACGUUAAGGUGUCAGUUUUGUGAGCUGCUGGAGUGGAGCCCAGGUCCUGCGCACCUUGCACCUACCAGGCGUGCUCUUGUGCCGAGCUGCAUCCCAGCCCCAAAACGUUCUUGCUAAGUUGCUGAGGCUGGUUUCAAACCUGUGAUCCUCCUGCCUCAGCCUCCUGAGAAGCUAGGAUUACAGACCUGCACCACCAUGUCCAGCUCUGGGGAGGGGGCGUUAAUGGAUAUAGAGUUUUAGUUUUGCAUGACUAUAUAUAUAUAUAUACAUUAUAUAUAACCUUAUUUUUAUAACCUUAUUUUUAUAUAUCGUAUAUUUAUCUCCAAGUCUUCAUACCCUGUUACCUGUGAAUGUCACCUUAUUUGGAAAUAGGGUCUUUAUAGAUAUAUAUAAGAAUCAGGAUGAGGUCAUCCUGGAUUUAGGAUGAACCCUAAAUCCAAUGUCAGGUAUCCUUACAGAAAAAGGAGAAAGAGGGACUGGGGUGUGGCUCCAGUGGUAGAGCACUGGCCUAGCAUGUGUGGAGCCCUGGGUCCAAUCCCCCAGCACCACAAAAAAAGAAAAAAGAAAAAAACCCACAGAGAAAGAAUCUUGAUACAGAAGUGCCCAGAGGUGGCUCCCCACAUGAAGACAGUGAUGGACGAUACAGCCAAGGAGCACCAACAGCUGCCAGCAGCCACCAGAAGCUGCAGAGAUGCCUGGAACAAAUCCUUCCUCGGAGCCUCUGAAGGAAUCAACACCUCCAUUUUGGACUUUCGGCCUCCAGAACUGUAAGAGAAUAAGCUCCUUUUUUUUAUGUUGAAAACUUUAUCAGUAAAUACUGUAACUACAGAAAGUUGUAAGUAAAUGUUAACUCUUGGUUGGAGAUUUCUUGUGUAUCUUCUUGAAUGCUCUAGGCUGCACUUCCAGUUCUAUGGACGGCCGCAAGCCCACUGCAUGCAGGUGUGGCUCAGCUCCAUACGGCUGCAGCCUGCAGCGCUGCUCCCUUCACUGCCCACCUGCGCUCACACCCACCCAGCCCAAGACAGGAAAGCACUGCCCUCCACCCAUCAGAAGCUUAACCAACUGGAGCUGGGAGCCGUCGAACGAGGCUUCAGUCUGGACUCACAUGACCAGCUCUCUCUGUGGUCCUAUCGGAUGGCACACCCAGUCACCUCGACAGGGGUAGUCCUCUUUGAGGCUCUCCCUCCUUCCCUGCCUCACACCACCCAUUCUUCAGUUGACACUCUCAAACAAAUCCUUUGGCUCAGGCUCUUUUUCUCAGGGCCCAGGUCAACACAGUCCUCCAUAAGACAGCAAUGAAGCCUGAUGUGCUGAGUUGGGGGCAGUGAGGAAGGGCUAAGCCAGGUUUCCAGAUAAACCUCUGCAGUUGAUAUUUCAGGGUCCUUCAGAUAAACAGACCAACAGGCGAUGUUAACCGCCGAGCGCCACUGCACAACACAGUUUACAUUCUGAGAAAGAUCCUUAAGGAAUUUCACCACUGGGAACAUCCCCGAGGACUUACACCAACUGGGUGGUCUGGCCAGCUCGUGCCUGGUAUGUGGCAUGUGCACAUAGGUAUAUGGUAUAGCCUGUUGCUCCCGGGGCCAGGAUGAGCAGGUUCAAACCAAGCUCGGAGAACAUGCUAUUGACAGGUGAUGAGCAGGAGGUGUGAGGCUGCUGCUGGUGCAGUGCCUGCCGUUUACACUUUGUGCAGGCGGAAGGAGUCAAACAGUAACCCUCACCUGUCACCUGUACUUAUUUAUUCCUGCAGUACUGGGGUCUGGACCCAGGGCUUGAGCAUGCCAACCAAGUGCUUCCCCACGGAGCCACAUCCCGGCCCUGCCUCUACCAUCUUAUCAAUGCCAUGUACUGUGCACAGCUGCACCUGCGGGACUUCGUAGGACUGGCAGCACAGCCAUGUGUGUUGACACCAGCGUCACCACAGGCAGGGUCUUCAGACGAGGAGGCCGUCACCAGGAAGGCUGCCUUUUGUGUGAUGUUUUACGAGAAAAAAAUGGGUGUGUAUUACUUACAUCGCUAAAAUGACUUAAAAUAAAGGCUGGGAUGUAACUCAGUGGUCGAGUGCUUGUCUAGCUUGCUCAAGCACUGGGUUCAAUCCCCAGCACCACCAAAAACAAAAAAAGGAAGAAAGAAAAAAAGAAGAAGAAUUCAAAAUAAGAAGCCAGCACAGUAGAAAUUCCAUUGCAGAGUUGCUUUAAGAUCAAGCAACUGCUGAGUUUCAAAGUGCCACGGUCCUGCACACCUGCAAACCCUCUCCUGACCCUGCGAGGUCCAAUUCAGUGGUGGUUAAUACAGUUACUAGUUGAGCAGCUGUGGCCUCUGUCUGGUUCCAGAGCAUUUUCAUCUCUCCAGAAGGUGACCCAUACCUGGAGGUCACUCUCCAUCCCACCUCCUGGCACCGGCAACCACUGGUCUGCUCUGUUUCCACAAAUUUGCCCCUUGGCUGUCUGGAUGUUCUGCAUGAACAGAGUUACACAGCACAUGGUCCUUUGUGUCCGGACACUCCUGUUUAGCAUCAGGUGCCCAAGGUCCAUCCUAGUGCUGCAUGUGCUGGGGCUUCAUUCAUUUUAGCAGCUGAUGAAGAGACCAUGUGUGACCAUU